CUCACCUUGAAUAGGUCACUUUCACACACACACACACACACACACACACACACACACACACAGAGGGGUGGGUCCAUGUCCCUUUGAGUGGACUACCACUUCUUUCCUCUAGUCUCACUUACCUGUGGUUGUCGACAUUUCCUCCCAGUGCACCAAGAAAUCCCAAAGACAGGCCUGACAGUCUCCCAUGGAGACCUUCUUGAAGAAGUUGCUCACAGCCCUGUCCUUCUCCCACUUCUCUCUCAUCCGUCUCCCUCCAGAAUGAACCACUGUCCAGUGUCCAUUCUCCAAAUCAAAGAGGAGGCACAUUUGUCCACUGAAGCCAAACUGCCAGGAUCCACUGAUGUGUCCAUCCUCUUCACAUCGACAUGUCAUCCUGCCCUGCAAGGUACCCAGGAUCGGCCAACACACAGCCUUUCUGGAUACAUGCCAGAUGGCUCUGCAGGAAAAGCCUAGAUGGAAGAGGACUUUCAGAACCGAACCCAGUGUCCUGCCAGAGAUGGAGAGCAUGUGGGGGCUGCUUCUGAGGAGCAUUUCAUUUAUAGAAUGGAGCCCCUUUUCAGAAUGCAUCCCCAGAGAAGGAAGCCACGUUCCAGUGAGGAGUGCCCUUUCAUCACCACAGAUCCUUUCUGGAGGUGCAGGCAUCUCUCAGCCAAGAUGGAUUCCAGGGAGGAUUCUGGCAAGCUGAUAGGACAUAUGGACUGUCGUAUCCUCUCCCCUUUGGACCUUCCCCCAAUUCUUCUGGUUGAUGGUAUCUUGUAAGUGCUGCAUUCCUCACCAGGACUUCUGGUUGUAAGCCAAUUCAUGCAAAUGGUCUGUAUCAGGCCAGGCUAGGGCCCGUGGUUUUGGUCAAUGGUUCCCAUAACAGAGCCUUUGUGGAGGAUUUUCCCCCCUCACGUUUGUCUCAUUCAGUCAGUCUUUUGUGCUGCCUCUAACCAAGAUUUCAGCAUCUCUGAAUUCACUUCUUUGGGCUAUCUAUCCGGUGAUGAAGAGUGGGCUCAUCACCUGUUGGGACUGACAAGCCCUCUUGAUUCUUUGAAAGUGGGUCCUUGUCUUUGGACAUUAUUUUUCACUCCAGGAGACUGCCAGUGACAUCAACGUCUGUGACAGAGGGCUCCAUCUCUGUUAUCAUGGGGGCUCUGGCCUUUGCUGGCUUCAGGGGUGACUGAGCCCUGAACUAGGAGGGGCAUGUGGAGUCUUCAGCACGGGCAGUGCCCCAUUCAUGUCUUGUCACUGAGUGAGGCUGGGUUUCCUAUUUAUAGAUGCAAGAAGG
rnacentral:lncRNA from 1 species